GAUGAACGCUGGCGGCGUGCUUAACACAUGCAAGUCGAACGAUGAAGCCCAGCUUGCUGGGUGGAUUAGUGGCGAACGGGUGAGUAACACGUGAGUAACCUGCCCUUAACUCUGGGAUAAGCCUGGGAAACUGGGUCUAAUACCCGAUAGGAGCGUCCACCGCAUGGUGGGUGUUGGAAAGAUUUAUCGGUUUUGGAUGGACUCGCGGCCUAUCAGCUUGUUGGUGAGGUAAUGGCUCACCAAGGCGACGACGGGUAGCCGGCCUGAGAGGGUGACCGGCCACACUGGGACUGAGACACGGCCCAGACUCCUACGGGAGGCAGCAGUGGGGAAGAGUGCACAAUGGGCGCAAGCCUGAUGCAGCGACGCCGCGUGAGGGAUGACGGCCUUCGGGUUGUAAACCUCUUUCAGGAGGGAAGAAGCGAAAGUGACGGUACCUGCAGAAGAAGCACCGGCUAACUACGUG
rnacentral:rRNA from 1 species